GUGUCAGCCGCCGCGGUAAUACGUAGGGGGCAAGCGUUGUCCGGAAUCAUUGGGCGUAAAGCGCGCGUAGGCGGCCUCGUAAGUCCGCUGUGAAAGUCAAAGGCUCAACCUUUGAAUGCCGGUGGAUACUGCGAGGCUAGAGUCCGGAAGAGGCGAGUGGAACUCCUGGUGUAGCGGUGGAAUGCGCAGAUAUCAGGAAGAACACCAACGGCGAAGGCAGCUCGCUGGGACGGUACUGACGCUAAGGCGCGAAAGCGUGGGGAGCGAACAGGAUUAGAAACCCCAGUAGUCC
rnacentral:rRNA from 1 species